GAUGAAGAACGCAGCGAAAUGCGAUAAGUAAUGUGAAUUGCAGAAUUCAGUGAAUCAUCGAAUCUUUGAACGCACAUUGCGCCCGCCAGUAUUCUGGCGGGCAUGCCUGUUCGAGCGUCAUUACAACCCUCAGGCCCCCGGGCCUGGCGUUGGGGAUCGGCGGAGCCCCCAGUGGGCACACGCCGUCCCCCAAAUGCAGUGGCGGUCCCGCCGCAGCUUCCAUCGCGUAGUAGCUAACACCUCGCGACUGGAGAGCGGCGCGGCCACGCCGUAAAACACCCAACUCUUCUGAAGUUGACCUCGAAUCAGGUAGGAAUACCCGCUGAACUUAAGCAUAUCAAUAAGCGGAGGA
rnacentral:misc_RNA from 1 species